rnacentral:rRNA from 1 species
GAUGAACGCUGGCGGCGUGCUUAACACAUGCAAGUCGAGCGAAGCGCUUUGGUUAGAUUCUUCGGAUGAAGACCUUUGUGACUGAGCGGCGGACGGGUGAGUAACGCGUGGGUAACCUGCCUCAUACAGGGGGAUAACAGUUAGAAAUGACUGCUAAUACCGCAUAAGACCACAGUACCGCAUGGUACAGGGGUAAAAACUCCGGUGGUAUGAGAUGGACCCGCGUCUGAUUAGCUGGUUGGUGGGGUAACGCCUACCUAGUCUUCGAUGGAUAGGGGUUCU